rnacentral:rRNA from 1 species
CGUAGGUGGCAAGCGUUGUCCGGAUUUAUUGGGUUUAAAGGGAGCGUAGGUGGCCUUAUAAGUCAGCGGUGAAAUCUCUGGGCUUAACCCAGAAAUUGCCAUUGAUACUGUAGGGCUUGAGUACAGUUGCUGUGGGCGGAAUAUGACAUGUAGUGGUGAAAUACAUAGAGAUGUCAUAGAACACCGAUUGCGAAGGCAGCUCACAAAACUGUAACUGACACUGAGGCUCGAAAGUGCGGGGAUCAAACAGGAUUAGAUACCCUGGUAGUCCGCACUGUAAACGAUGAUUACUCGCUGCUAGAGGGCAACUUUUAGUGGCUUAGCGAAAGCGAUAAGUAAUCCACCUGGGGAGUACGCCGGCAACGGUG